rnacentral:rRNA from 1 species
UACGUAGGGGGCAAGCGUUGUCCGGAUUUAUUGGGCGUAAAGAGCGUGUAGGCGGCCAAGCAGGUCCGCUGUGAAAACUCGAGGCUCAACCUCGAGACGUCGGUGGAAACCGUUUGGCUAGAGUCCGGAAGAGGAGAGUGGAAUUCCCGGUGUAGCGGUGAAAUGCGUAGAUAUUGGGAGGAACACCGGUGGCGAAGGCGGCCCCCUGGACCGGUACUGACGCUGAGGCGCGUAAGCGUGGGUAGCAAACGGG